GCGAGCGUAACUCAAUUGGUAGAGUGUCAGCCUUCCAAGCUGAAUGUUGCCGGUUCGAUCCCGGUCGCUCGCU
rnacentral:tRNA from 1 species